rnacentral:rRNA from 1 species
CUGAAAGCAUCUAAGCGCGAAGCCGGCCCCAAGAUGAGGUUUCCCUUGGAGUUAAUCCAGUAAGACCCCUGGUAGAUGACCAGGUAGAUAGGCCGGAAGUGUAAGGAGAGCAAUCUCUUCAGCGGACCGGUACUAAUCGGUCGAGGGCUUGAAUCAA